AGCUAAUGGUGCAGUGGUUUGAGCCCUGGACUAUGACUCUAGAGACCAGGGUUCAAAUCCCCAAUUGGCCA